rnacentral:misc_RNA from 1 species
GAUGAAGAACGUAGCGAAAUGCGAUACUUGGUGUGAAUUGCAGAAUCCCGUGAACCAUCGAGUCUUUGAACGCAAGUUGCGCCCGAAGCCUCGGCUAAGGGCACGUCUGCCUGGGCGUCACGCAUCGCGUCUCCCCCAAACCGCCAAGGCGGAGGGGAAGGAAGAUGGCUUCCCGUGCCUCACCCGGGCGCGGUUGGCCUAAAUUUGGAGCCCGCGGCACUUAGCUCUCGCGGCGAUAGGUGGUGAACAAGGCCUUGGCCGUGCAAACAACCCGCUGCGAAGCUCUAUGUCACGUGCGCUCGUCGGACCCUUUGAAGUUGCCUUCGGUGACUUAAAACCUUUGCGACCCCAGGUCAGGCGGGGCUACCCGCUGAAUUUAAGCAUAUCAAUAAGUGGAGGA